UCCAGUCGAUCCCGCUGGAGAAUGCUGCUUGUAGAAUUCGACUAAGCCAUGCGAGUCAGAGGUCCUAGUGGCCUCGGCAAACGGCUCAGUAACACGUGGGUAACCUACCCUACGGUGGUGGAUAACUUUGGGAAACUGAAGGUAAUACGCCAUAGUUGAUUAUUACUGGGAUUGUAUUUUUGACUAAAGUCUUCGGACGCCAUAGGAUGGGCCUGCGGCAGAUUAGGUUGUUGGUGGGGUAAUGGCCCACCAAGCCAGUGAUCUGUACGGGCUCUGAGAGGAGUAGCCCGGAGAAGGGAACUGAGACAAGGUCCCUAGCCCUACGGGGUGCAGCAGGCGCGAAACCUUUACAAUGCACGAAAGUGUGAUAAGGGAAUUCUACGUGCAAGCUGUGCUUGCUUUUCUUAAGUCUAAAAUGCUUGGGGAAUAAGGGCUGGGCAAGACCCGUGCCAGCCGCCGCGGUAACACGGGCAGCUCUAGUAGCGUUCGGGAAUAUUGGGCCUAAAGCGUACGUAGCCUGUUAAGUAAGUUUCUGGUGAAAGCAUGCGACUUAAUCGUGUGAGUUGCCAGGAAAACUACUUUGACUUGGGACCGGGAAGGGUCGGAGGUAUUUCUGGGGUAGGGGUAAAAUCCAAUAAUCCUAGAAGGACCAUCGGUGGCGAAGGCGUCCGACUGGAACGGGUCCGACGGUGAGGUACGAAAGCUAGGGGAGCGACCGGGAUUAGAUACCCCGUUAGUCCUAGCCGUAAAUGAUGCAAGUUUGGUAUUGCAAUCCUUACGAGGGAUUGCAGUGCCGUAGGGAAGCCGUUAAACUUGCCGCCUGGGGAGUACGGCCGCAAGGCUGAAACUUAAAGGAAUUGGCGGGGGAGUACUACAAGGGGUGGAGGCUGCGGUUUAAUUGGAUACAACGCCGGACAACUCACCAGGGAUGACAGCACUAUGAUGGUCAGCCUAAAGGGCUUACUUGAGGCGCUGAGAAGUGGUGCAUGGCCACCGCCAGCUCGUGCAGUGAUGUGUCCUGUUAAGUCAGGCAACGAGCGAGACCCGUACUUCCAGUUGCUAAUUUUCUUCUACGGAAGGGGAUGCACUCUGGAGGGACUGCCGUGGAUAACACGGAGGAAGGAGCGGGCGACGGUAGGUCAGUAUGCCCUGAAUUUCCUGGGCCACACGCGGCCUACAAUGACAAGGACAAUAGGAUGCGACUCCGAGAGGAGAAGCUAAACCCGUAAACCUUGCCUAAGUUUGGAUCGAGGGUUGGGACUCACCCUCGUGAAAAUGGAAUCCCUAGUAAUCGUGUGUCAUUAUCGCACGGUGAAUGCGUCCCUUCUCCUUGCACACACCGCCCGUCAAACCAUCCGAGUGGGGCCUUGACGAGGCCUGAUCCACUAAGGGUCAGUUCGAAUCUGAGCUCCGUGAGGAGGGUUAAGUCGUAACAAGGUA
rnacentral:rRNA from 1 species